rnacentral:lncRNA from 1 species
CGAAUCCCAGGACGAUUGAGAAAACGGAGAGUCCCAUUCGGAGGACUUAAAAACACCGAAUGCCUUGCCAAGAGCUUUGUUGUCUAUUUGAGCUCCACAGAAUUCAAGGAUCAAAGAAGACUAGCAGACGGAGGACAUCCUACUCGCUGUCAGGGCGCUGCUGACAUUCAAAUACACCUCUGCCACCUGCUAGCUACAUCAGAAGGAAUUACGUCAAAAUCCAGCUUGGGGGAGAGCACUCCCAUUUAUCUAGCAAAGUGUUUCUACUCGCGUUUAUACUUUACUCAAAUAAUAAAAAGAUGCAUAAUCAUAAAAACCCAAAUAAAGAUUUUGUGCUUAUAUAUAUAUAUAUCUUUGCUUAGUUUGCUAAAUAAAUAAAUAAAUAAAGUUCGCUAUGAACCCUCAUGAUAAGCUCUCACAUGGAAAUGAUGAGUAGUUGCUCUACCAUGACUAGUUCUCAAAAUUGAAAUCUCUCUCAAGUUUAGGCAUGACUGUUAUUAAUUAAGAUUUGCUCUAAACCUGAUCUUGUGGGGAGAGUACUUGAUCUAAAGUCUAAGUCGUUAACGGAUACGAUAUGGGAAGGUUGAGCUGCUGUUUAUCUGUUCCUAGAGAUGCUAGAAUUCUGGAGAAUUUUAUCUUUCAAAAUCUUUAAAAUGUUGCAUGAUGAGUUCCUGUAUGAUGAGAGUUUAAAUUCCUACCACAGCCAUAUAUACAUGCUUGCUAGACUUUGAGCCACACAUUUACUUUUUUACUGCUUAUGAGCAUUGAGUGUGGUCAAGCUGUGUAGACCCUUAGGAGCUUGUCAUGUAGUUAAAUCAAGAUUCACUUGCACGUUCACUCAUACAUGCUACUUCUACUUCCGGAAGUACGCAUCCACAUAUAUCUACCCAUUUCCAUCUCUAGAACCACCCAAAAAUAUUGUACUCCUAAUCUGGGAGAGAAUAGCCAAAAACAUUUCUAUUUUUCCCUGUGAAAUAAAUGCUCAAGUUAUCUUGGUUACUACCACUUGCUAUAUUAUCUCAUGAGAUGAGUGCUCUAAAAAAAGAGAAAAAAAGUAUAUGAGGAAAUAAAAAGGGGCAAGUGCCUGGAACCUCGAAAGAAAAGAAAAAGUGAGACGAGAGGUAAAAAUGGACAAGUGUCCGACAGUAGAAUUAGGGGUACAAGAUACCCACCUGAGAGGAAAGAAAAAGAAAAUAUAGAGCAUCUCAUUCUCCUCAAAAAGUUUCAAAAGAGCAAGGAAGGUAUGUAUCCCCUCAAAAGAGCAUAAGUAGAAUUAGACUUUCACCAUUGUUAUUACCAUCAUCACCAUACAUCAUUCAUUUGCCACACAUGCACAUCUUGAUUUGACUUAUUGACUUGUUCUUCUAGAUCCAUGGUUUGACUUUGCAAUAAAUGUCUUGUAAGUAUGUAUUAGCUGUCUCCCACCUAUGAGCUCCAGAUAUCAAAAGCCUUAUUAGAGUAGGGUGAGAGAGAAGGCAAUGUUACUAUGUCUGAUACCAAAAAUACCACAUACUUUGAGAGAAGGCAUACUCCUUUACUGCCUUGGUAAGGAUCUAGAAAUACCACAAAAGAGAGACUAGAGAGAGUCAUACAAGGAAUCUCUGAGUUUUAUUUGAAAAUCUGCAAAAACUCCAGAGCUAUAGUUAAUCGAAGAACAAGAGACAUGGCGCUUGACUAGACCGUUCUAUCUUUUAACUGCUCAAGACACAAGUGACGGUUACAAGCCCCAUGGUGGAAGGUAAAAUGAGUAAGUUUAAAUCUUAACAGUUUACCCUAACCUAGAGAUGAGAUCUUGUUUGAACACAUGUGUAUUUUUAAGGCAUGAAACCACUGCAGAAACUCUUAAGUUCAUCUUUGCUCAGGGACGAGCAAAAGUUAAGCUUGGGGGAGCUUGUUGACGGUCCUUAAUGCUCACAUUUAACCAUUAACUAAUCAUGGAAAAGGAUCCAAAUGCAACUAACACCUAGACUUAGGAUUUUAUCUGACAGAAUUUCAUGAGUUUUGGUGUUUGUCUAUUUCUGCAGGGGGUUAUCAGGAAAUACGGAAGAAAGGCCCACACGUCGGGUUUACAUAGAGAUAUUAACGUGCCGCGCAAUUUUCUAUCAUCUAGAAGACUCCAGAAGCCACGGGAACGAACGGGAAGGCAAUCGGGCUCGGAGGCAGAGCGCCGGCCAUACUCUCCUAGGCGCCCGCCCACCUACAGUGCCCAAACAGAGUCCUUUUCAGAGAUCAUGUUCCACCGACCUAAAGGAUCAAGGAAAACCGUGCGAUUAAUGUCGGUUUGAUCCGACGGCCCAGAUUCACUUGAAGGGACUAUAAAACCAGACCCCCCUAGCCCCUGGAGAUCAUACCUCUUCUAUAGAAUCAAAGUUAGGGUUUCAAUUCUUCAUCCAAGUAGAGAGGAUCCCUCUAGUUCUUCUAGUUCUACCUCUAGUUCAUCUAGAUCUAGUUCUAGUUCUAGUUCUUCUAGUUCUAGUUCUAGUUAGUUCUAGUUGUAAUCUAGAAAAUAGGGAGAGAGAAGAGGAGAGCGGAGGAGGAGCCGGAUCUGUCGGAUCUUCCUCAACAUUGUACUUUUGCAGCAUCUGGUUCGUUCUUCAUCGUUCUCCAGGUUCUUCAAUUCAUAAUUCCUGAGUUCUUUAAUUACUUUUAUUUACAUUCAAGUUAUUUAUUG